UGAUAUGUGACCUCUCAGUGAUGAUACCU
rnacentral:piRNA from 1 species